GACGUAGGGCGCGAGCGUUGUCCGGAAUUAUUGGGCGUAAAGAGCUUGUAGGCGGUUUGUCGCGUCUGCCGUGAAAAUCCGGGGCUCAACCCCGGACUUGCGGUGGGUACGGGCAGACUAGAGUGUGGUAGGGGAGACUGGAAUUCCUGGUGUAGCGGUGAAAUGCGCAGAUAUCAGGAGGAACACCGAUGGCGAAGGCAGGUCUCUGGGCCACUACUGACGCUGAGAAGCGAAAGCGUGGGGAGCGAACAGG
rnacentral:rRNA from 1 species